CCCCGUGAAGAAGCGGGGAUAACUAUAUAAGACGAGAAGACCCCAUGGAGCUUUAAACCCAGCAACACCUAUCUUUAUACACCCUUAUAUUCACGUAACUCUACUUGCUCGGUUUUAGGUUGGGGUGACCGCGGAGCACAACAAAACCUCCACGAAAAAAGGACCAACAAUCCUUAUCCAAGAUGCACAUAUCUAAGAAUUAAUAUAUUAACUUUUAAUGAUCCGUUAUUCGAUCAACGAACCAAGUUACCCUGGGGAUAACAGCGCAAUCUACCUCGAGAGCUCCUAUCGACAGGUAGGUUUACGACCUCGAUGUUGGAUCAGGGUAUCCCAGUGGUGCAGCAGCUACUAAAGGUUCGUUUGUUCAACGAUUAAAACCCU
rnacentral:rRNA from 1 species